rnacentral:rRNA from 1 species
UACGUAGGGUGCAGGCGUUAAUCGGAAUUACUGGGCGUAAAGCGUGCGCAGGCGGUCUUUUAAGUCAGAUGUGAAAUCCCCGGGCUUAACCUGGGAACUGCGUUUGAAACUGGAAGGCUUGAGUGUGGCAGAGGGGGGUGGAAUUCCACGUGUAGCAGUGAAAUGCGUAGAUAUGUGGAGGAAUACCGAUGGCGAAGGCAGCCCCCUGGGAUGACACUGACGCUCAUGCACGAAAGCGUGGGGAGCAAACAGG